AGUGAACGCUGGCGGCAGGCCUAACACAUGCAAGUCGAACGGACGAACAGUAAGCGUUUGCUCUUACGGGUGGCGGGUGACGGCAGGGUGACGCAUAGAUCGGCAUCUAGUUCUACGCGGGUGAUAACGUGGGGAAGGUUACGCUAACAUCGCAUAAGCCCAACGGCUGAACUCAGUCGCUCUCCGCACCUUGACCGAUUGUCUGCGCUGAUGUCGGGUUAGCUAGUUGGCGGGGUAAAGGCCCACCAAGGCGACGACCCGUAGCUUGCCUGAGAGGAUGAUCAGCCACACUGGAACUGAGACACGGUCCAGACUCCUACGGGAGGCAGCAGUAGGGAAUAUUGGACAAUGGGCGCAAGCCUGAUCCAGCCAUACCGCGUGAGUGAUGAAGGCCUUCGGGUUGUAAAGCGCUUUUCUUGGGAAAGAAAAGCAGCAUAAUAAUACCCCACCGUUCUGACGGUACCCAAAGAAGAAGCACCGGCUAACUUCGUG
rnacentral:rRNA from 1 species